AUGGAGAGUUGGACACUUAACAAAUCAAGCUACCCAGGCACCCCAUGGAGUGACAAAUCUUAACAAGACUUCCCUUCACGGUGUGGAAUUCAGACGAGGGAAAUAUAGAUGUCAAGUUCAGGAAGCUCAGUAGUCUGAUGCAGAUUUUCUCUCCUCAACUUUAACCUCCCGGGUCCAACAGCAUUUAUCACUUUCAGGCUCACAGCUGGAAAGACAAACCAGAACAAGAGCCUUUCACAACUGUUCUAGCAAGAUGAACACAUAUGGAGAUGGCCCUGAGGGAGAUCCUGUCCUGCUACCUGGGUGAAGUCCUGGCCGAUACAAUAAGCAGUCAUUUUUAAAUGACGGAAAAAAAUACUGUGGUAACUCAUCAUUAACAACCAAUUUUGGUCCUUCAGUAAAUGUUGUCAUGGAAAAGGCUGCAUCAGAAAACAAUUUAGUGAAAAAAAUGCUUUAUCAUAUAUUGGAAUUGCACCU